AAAGCGUGGGUAGCGAACAGGAUUAGAUACCCUGGUAGUCCACGCCGUAAACGAUGAGUGCUAGGUGUUAGGCCCUUUCCGGGGCUNAGUGCCGGAGCUAACGCAAUAAGCACUCCGCCUGGGAAGUACGACCGCAAGGUUGAAACUCAAAGGAAUUGACGGGGGCCCGCACAAGCGGUGGAGCAUGUGGUUUAAUUCGAAGCAACGCGAAGAACCUUACCAGGUCUUGACAUCCCGAUGCUAUUCUUAGAGAUAGGAAGUUACUUCGGUACAUCGGAGACAGGUGGUGCAUGGUUGUCGUCAGCUCGUGUCGUGAGAUGUUGGGUUANNNNNAANNAANGAGCGCAACCCUUAUUGUUAGUUGCCAUCAUUAAGUUGGGCACUCUAGCGAGACUGCCGGUAAUAAACCGGAGGAAGGUGGGGAUGACGUCAAAUCAUCAUGCCCCUUAUGACCUGGGCUACACACGUGCUACAAUGGUCGGUACAACGAGUUGCGAGCCGGUGACGGCAAGCUAAUCUCUGAAAGCCGAUCUCAGUUCGGAUUGGAGGCUGCAANU
rnacentral:rRNA from 1 species